GGCGGCCGCCGAGAGGGUUCACAAAGGCUCUGGUCCAUUAGAGGAAGGAGGUCCCAGAAUAGCUGGGAAAUUACGAGAACAGCCUCACUGCACGAGUUGGUGAAUGCUGUGAUGGCGAUUGUAUGAUGGACGGUGAUGUUGAAACCAGACUGGGGAAUGACCGCCCCAUCCGGAGAGAAAAGCACCAAGGAUUCUCUUUUGUUGAAUUUGAGUUGGCAGAGUUUGGUCAGAUGAAGACUGGGUGGAGAAGUUUGCUGGGAAGAGGAUAAAGAGGAAGGUGGUUGAGACUUCCCAAAGCAGAAAGCCAGGAGCGCAGCCCAUUUACUGCCUUCUCCAGGAAGCUUUUCUGAAUCCUCCAGUGAGUAAGGGAGAGCCCACUGCUAAAAAAGGCCUAGUCAAAUCCUCAGGUGUACAUGGACAUCAAGAUUGGGAACAAGCCGGCUGGCUGCAUCCAAACCCUCCUGCGUUCCGACGUCGUGCCCAUGACCACAGAGAAUUUUCUCUACAUGUGCACCCAUUUAAAGGACUCGGCUUCAAGGGAAGCAGCUUCCACCGCAUUAUCCCCCAGUUCAUUUGCCAGGGCAGUGAUUUCACAAACCACGGUGGCACCAGGGGUCUGCGCAGGCAUGGCACUAAGUGUCCCAUGGCACAUUUGGCCCUCAUGGAGGCCUCAAAAGGGCAGGACCAGCACCCUCUUCUACGGAGGAAGGAACGGGCACAGCAGAAACAAGGAGAGUCAGCAAUUACCAGCCAGCCAAGGUCCUGGAAGCUGACGUAGAGCUCGUGCCGACGGCAGACCUGCCGGCCGUGGGAGCCGCGGACGUCAUCUGCAGGGACAGAAGGGGCAAGGUCUUUUCUGGGGUUCCUGCUGUGUGCAGCUACUAUGGGGUACCAGGGUGGGGGAUGCCCUGAUGAGCACAUUUGUCAAAUAAAUGAAUGACAGGAAACCA
ensembl:lncRNA PPIEL peptidylprolyl isomerase E like (pseudogene)